rnacentral:lncRNA from 1 species
GGGAUUGAUUUCUCCACUAUGGCAAAAACAACUGCUCCCUCUACUCGUGCCCUUUCAAAUAUAACAUAUAUGGCCGGCGUGGAUUUGGAGAAUAAGAUAAAAUAACGUGAUCAUUAUAUGUUUUUAAUGAAGCCAUAAUCAUAUCCCAUUACAGAAUCUGUGUUUCCCAAGUCAUCUUUCCUACCUCAAGAAAACAUGUAUUACAAGAUGAGUAAGACGGAAAGCCACCCAAUAUGGAGUGCAUUAGGGUUACCCCCGCACCUGCCACAGUAUUAAAUGGAUACUGAACCAUACAUUUUCCUUUCAUCUGUCUAUGCCCUCAGCAAGACAGACAAAGUGUGCAAUUCAGGCUCGAAGGCUCGGAGAUCAGCAGAUGUACGUGGUUGCUCAAAAUCGAUGGAUACACCGGUUGUCCAAAAUUAGUGUAAUUCAAUUACUGUAGCCAUGAUUAGCUUCCCAGAGGGACAGCAUGGGGUGAGGCCAGGGUGAAGGAAGCUCAAACUUUCUUUUUUUUUCAUCAGUAGGGGUGGGGAGGGCUUAACAUGUAAAGAGAAUACGCUUCCUGAAGUUGGUUCUGCAUCUCACCAGCUCUAAGCAGGACCAGAGCCCAGAUAACCAUACUUGGGAACUAAAUUGUGAAAGGGAGGUCCAGGAAGGCUGUGACAAACACCCAGGCUUCAAAGUGCUGUCACCAGAAGCCAGCAUCGCUGUAAGGAGCAUACAGGAUGAUUUUUUUUAAACCCCCAAUAUUUCUUCCUUUCUAUAUACUUUUCACCAACCUGUAAUGCAAGUUUAAAGGAAAAAAAAUGGAAACCUCAAUUCCCCAAACUAAUAAAAAUUGUGUUUAGUACAUUCGGAUCUUAGUGGA